CGUGAUUCCCCCGUCAAAAUAGGCUACAUGCUGGUACACCCACAUGGUCACAUGGAUAGAAGUGCAUUUAUUCCGCGUUCAUUGUCAGGGCGAACUUAACACGCGUUGCACACACCACAUCUUCAUAGUGUCGGUAAAUCUGUACGAAUGACAUAAAAGAAAAUUUUGUACGAAUAUUAUAUAAAUAUUAUGGUAUAAAUAUUAUAAUCCCUCUAGCUUGUGUGUAAAAGCGAAUCUUGGGACAAAAUUAUAAUAUUUUAAGAAACAAAAUAUUGUUAUAGAAAAUAAUUUCUUAGAAUUAGUUUAUAGGAAAUUUUAGUAUUAAUGGGUUAUUUUGAAAUAAUUCGUAAAAAUUUUAAGAGCUAGAUUUUACAUAAUGCUGUUUUCUUAAGGUCAUUUAAAAACGUUACACAAAAUAAAAAAUAUUUUUUUAUAUUUAUUUAUAAAUUUUUAUGGCAAGUUUUGGAUAAAAUUUUAAAUGUUUUUUUAGAUUGUCUGUGAGAUCAACCAAAUCAAUGGACAAAAAAAGAAUUUCUUGUGAAACUAGUGUUUGUUUGUGAAACAAUCCAUCAAAUACAUGUAAUGUCUUUCACAUAUUGAUGAAGUUUCAGUAGUCCCAUGUAUACGGGAAGUUCUUGAAACAAAAUUUUGAUAAAUGUCCUAUUAGAUCUUGUUGUAAUGUCUUUGAUUAAUUUUAUACAACAGAAAACUUCCUACAAUAUAGAAUUAGUAAAUAGUAAAUGAGCAAAAAA